GUUCUAUGAUGAGUAUUAAAUAUAUUUGGGUAAUUUACGUCUGAGAUUUCGUGAUGAAUAUUCCAGACUAGAUCUGACGAAU
rnacentral:snoRNA from 1 species